AGAUUGAACGCUAGCGGGAUGCUUUACACAUGCAAGUCGAACGGCAGCGCGGACUUCGGUCUGGCGGCGAGUGGCGAACGGGUGAGUAAUAUAUCGGAACGUGCCCAGUAGCGGGGGAUAACUACGCGAAAGCGUGGCUAAUACCGCAUACGCCCUACGGGGGAAAGGGGGGAUCGCAGGACCUCUCACUAUUGGAGCGGCCGAUAUCAGAUUAGCUAGUUGGUGAGGUAAAGGCUCACCAAGGCGACGAUCCUGUAGCUGGUUUGAGAGGACGACCAGCCACACUGGGACUGAGACACGGCCCAGACUCCUACGGGAGGCAGCAGUGGGGAAUUUUGGACAAGUGGGGGAAACCCUGACUCCAGCCAUCCCGCACGUGCGAUGAA
rnacentral:rRNA from 1 species